UACGUAGGGUGCGAGCGUUGUCCGGAAUUACUGGGCGUAAAGAGUUCGUAGGCGGUUUGUCGCGUCGUUCGUGAAAACUUGGGGCUUAACUCCAAGCGUGCGGGCGAUACGGGCAGACUUGAGUACUACAGGGGAGACUGGAAUUCCUGGUGUAGCGGUGAGAUGCGCAGAUAUCAGGAGGAACACCGGUGGCGAAGGCGGGUCUCUGGGCAACAACUGACGCUGAGGAGCGAAAGCGUGGGGAGCGAACAGG
rnacentral:rRNA from 1 species